rnacentral:rRNA from 1 species
GAACGGACGCUGGCGGCAUGCCUAACACAUGCAAGUCGAACGAGACCUUCGGGUCUAGUGGCGCACGGGUGCGUAACGCGUGGGAACCUGCCCUUAGGUUCGGAAUAACUCCCCGAAAGGGGUGCUAAUACCGGAUAAUGUCUUCGGACCAAAGAUUUAUCGCCUUUGGAUGGGCCCGCGUUGGAUUAGCUAGUUGGUAGGGUAAAAGCCUACCAAGGCGACGAUCCAUAGCUGGUCUGAGAGGAUGAUCAGCCACACUGGGACUGAGACACGGCCCAGACUCCUACGGGAGGCAGCAGUGGGGAAUAUUGGACAAUGGGCGAAAGCCUGAUCCAGCAAUGCCGCGUGAGUGAUGAAGGCCUUAGGGUUGUAAAGCUCUUUUACCCGGGAUGAUAAUGACAGUACCGGGAGAAUAAGCUCCGGCUAACUCCGUG